rnacentral:rRNA from 1 species
AUGGCGCUCCGGCUCCGCUCUGCCCUCUCCGCCGCCGCCUCCGGACGCCCCCUCCGCCACCGGGCUCUCUCCGCUGUUGGGACAAACCUGCUCCCGUCGUCGUCGUUUCCAUGGCCGUCACAGCGGCCUCCACCCUUUUCCUCGGCGACACACGCCGAUCUUCUUCUUAGCCGGCGACACACGUCCGACAUUCUGGCGACAUACAUCGUCUUCCUCGUCUCCGGUUGCAGCGACAUAUGCCAUCUCCUCCGACUCCGGCGACACAUCCCGGUGACAGCCGCAAUACCACGCAUCUCCUUGGGCCGACACACGACCCAGAGCUCCAUCGCACACACCGCCUCGCUGUGCCGCGCCUCCGCAGCUUCCUCGCCGCGCCACCACGACCUCUGCGCCACCACGUUCGCCGCGGACUCACCGCGGAUCGACAAGGCUCUGAUACCAAUUGUUGGGACAAACCUGGUCCGGCGACGAACGCCGAAUAGCCUCCAGCGCCCUCUCAGCGGCGAGCUGUUCCGCCUUCCGGACAUCGACGGCACCAAGGAGACACUGUGCGACAACCGCCUCGGCCUCCUCACCAAGGCCCGGCGCGGUCACGGCCCGCCCGACAGCGACCGGCCCGAGCUCCGCUUCGUGGAGCUCCCGGAGGGCAAGGAGCGGGUGGCCCCUGAUCACGGACCCUGUGCAGAUACCGGCGCGUUGGGAUCAGCGAGGGGAGGCUGCGUUACGCCGUGGUGUCCCAGUGCGACCCCUUCGUUCUCCGUUCGUUUGCCCUCAAUGGCGACGACGAUUGGACACUGGAGCAUGAGGUGGCGCUUAGCCCACUCUAGACGAACGGGGGCUACCCCUGGCUGCCUAUGGAGGAGACACCAAGGAUUGGCGUCAUCGACCCCAUGA